rnacentral:lncRNA from 1 species
CCAAGUCCAGUUUCACUUUCAUAUCUCCAAGCUUUUCAAUCAGUUGUCUUCUUUCUGCAUCAUAUUUCUGACAAUGCAUUAAAACAUUUUGCUGCUUCUUCUUCUCUGUUGCAGUCAAACUUGCCUGUACAUGCUUCAGUAUUGUUCAAAUUCCAAGCUAAAAUGAAUGCAUCAUUGACUGGGGAGUGAUGGGCACCAGGUGAAGUGAAUGAAUUUAACGAGAGCUGAGAGCAUGUGGAGCGCCAAUAUAAGCCAUGCAUCUGCUGCUAGCUUGUCAAUGGACAUUGAUUUGAUCUGUAAGCAGCCAGCAGCUUGUUGGUACUGACCUGCUGUAGCUGACUUGUGCUCCCUUUUGAGGCUUAAUCAUGUUGCUUGAUGUUAUUCUGAGGGUUUCCUGGAUUUGCUUCCUCUUUUUUGGCCGAGGUGCUUGUUUGCCUGUUUUUGUUAAAGGGGGAGCUCCUUCCUCCUUUGACCAACGGAACUGGAUGUCACCUCAGACCUCCCCUGACUUUAAUGCCUGGUAUGCCUAUCACAUGCCACUUGGCAUGUUUAUGGCUCCUCCUGCAUUGCCUUCAUCCUACAUCAUCCAGAACGGCAAUGGCUACCAGCGAGGAAGAGAAGCCUUUUCUUACUCAAAAUACACUGACGAUGUCUACAGCCCCUUUCCUCUGAGCCCUGUGCUGCCACGCAAUCCAGAAAGUGUCCCAGUGGCUGAUUCUCAAAGGGUAAAGGUUUGAGGUCAACUUGAUCAGCUGAGCCCGGGCCCUCCAUGCAUCAUGUGAUCAUUAAAAGAACUAUAACAACAAAAUGUUCUCCUUGAGUGUUUUACUGGCCAAUGAGUCAUUCGGUCAGCUUUGAGUUUUUGUGGACAAUGUCAGACACUUUGAGGUUUAUAUAUUCAGCAUAGCCAGACUUAACCUUAACUGGUUAAACUUGACACAACUUAAAAUCUCAGUCAGAGAUGAUGGGUAUCAACUUUGAUCGUGGCUCAAGAGUUGGGAGUUCGCCUUGUAAUCGGAAGGUUACCGGUUCGAGCCCCGGCUCGGACAGUCUCGGUCGUUGUGUCCUUGGACAAGACACUUCACCCUCUGACCACCGGUGGUGGUCAGAGGGCCCGGUGGCGCCAGUGUCCGGCAGCCUCGCCUCUGUCAGUGCGCCCCAGGGUGGCUGUGGCUACAACGUAGCUUGCCAUCACCAGUGUGUGAAUGGGUGAAUGACUGGAUGUGUAAAGCGCUAUAUAAAUACAGGCCAUUUGUUUAAGCUGGCCUUUGUGUAUGGUCACAAAGGUUGUCUUGUAGGUCAUGUGAUGAAGGAUGAUAAGCAUAAUGGAGUAAAAGGCAACACUAUAGCAAAUGACAAUGCUGCAGGAAGUGUUUACAGUGGACACUUCUUUCUCACUGCACUCAGUGCUGCUGUUCAUUUCUGUGGUGAUUGCUGCACACUAUUCUGCAAAAGGCAUCUAUUUAAACAAGCAGCACUAACAUUAACCACCUAAGUGGUUCUGUUCAGGGUCUAGUCACUGACUGAACAGGUAUUCUUCAUCUGUGUUCUAGCAGCUGAGGAAGUGUAAAACUGAUUUGGUGUACAAUUAGUUUGGUGUCGGAGGAUUAAAUGCCCGGUCUAGUGAAAUCCAGCCUCUAAUAAUUUUGUGGGUGGGGGUUUUUUUUGUUUUGUUUUUUUUUUCCCCUUUUAGCUAAGAUGCAGUUUCAUAACUUGUACCCAUUAAAAUGUCUUGUAUCCGGCAUUAGUUACAAUAGUAAUUUAUCCAGGUAAGAGCCACUUUUGUGACAUAAAGCUUAAUGUAGCUUGCUAACCCAUUAAUCUCAAUUUGUCAUGUGUCGCUUAGGUUAUUCCAGCUUUAGUUUAUAAAAUGCAUUCACUAAAAACAUCUAUUGCUUUUGGACUCGGAUUUUAAUUGGAUUAAAUUAAAGCAGUAAAAUCAGGAUCAAACUGUGUCAAAAGCCAAAGAAGAAACAUGAAAUCUUUAAAUCUACAGUUUGUGUUACUGAGCAGUCCUUACCUUUAAAUAUAACCUUCUUCCUCUCCUGUCCUGCCUUCCUUUUGUCUGUCUUAUCUAAAAUACUGUGUAACAAACUGCAUGCAGUUUGUUUGCUAAUGGACACAAUUGCCACUUAAAACAUUACUUUAUGUUCACUCCUCUUUAGUAGCACUGGGUAAACACUGAAGUACUUUAACAUCCAUAAACACUCUAAAUGAACCUGAAGCAACAAGCCUAUGUGAAAAUGUAAGAAAGUACAGAUAUUUGUGUGAAAAUGUAGGGAGUAAAAGUAAAAAGUUGCCAAGAAAAUAAAUAUUUGGUACAGAAAAUUCUACUGAAGUUCAUUAACAAAUAUUUGUACUUUGUUACUUCCCACAAAAAUCUAUAUUUGUUCGAGAGAAAAACAGGAACAUAGAAGGGCAGGUUAACAGGCAAAGGAAGACUUUAUGGCAGAGUGGAGAUGCCUGAGGAAACCAUACAAAACAGGAAGCAGCUGACUUAAGACACAGAAAACAAAAGGAAGCCGGGAGAAUACAGUUAACAGUAAUAAAACAUAACUAGAACUGAAGACUUAAAAUAGCGAGAAUAACUCAAAGGUACUGAAAAUACUCAACCAACAACUUUAACCAGACCCCAAAUCCCAAAGUCAAACCAUGGACAAUGACAAAGCUACAGUGUGCAAAGUUUUAACAGAUGUCAGCAGCUUGCAGAAUUCUGUUUAAUUACCUCCACAAACUCAUUUGCAUGAUCCUAGCUACAGUGGCUGCUAUAGUACAAACGUGUUCGUCAGCCAGGAGAGAUGAAAAACAUUUAAACUGUAGAAGGCAGUCAGUCUGCUGUUUACCUCAGCUUUCAAUGCCGGGUGAGAAGCAGUUAAACUGUUUGUCAGAGGGAAAGUGUGACCUUUAGGACACUGGAGCCAAACAUUAGCUGGUAUAAUGUUAGCUUAUAACUGACUGUUAUUGUUUAGCUCUUUCAGCUUUCCGGAGAUGAGGGUCACAUGUCUGACCUGCUGACAAUAACUGUGACAAUACCAGGAAUAAGAGAGCAUGUUUUUAUGUGUUAGAGCUCUGACUUGAAGAAGAUUAAGAUGACAGUGGUGCUCUUUCCUUGUGUUGUUUUUUUUUUUUUUUUUUUGGUGAAGGGUAUAAAAUGUAGGUAUGAUCCUUCAUGUCCUGAGUCUGAAGGUACAGAAGUGAAUCUUUUUUUUUUUUGUCUGUCCCAUUUGGUUCUUUAGCCGUCAGAAUUGUUGUCUGAAGACCAACAAGGAUACCCAAUGGAUUUACUUUGCCAAAUGGAUCAUCACAGCCUUGCCGUAUUGGUCCAUUUGAUCAACCUUUCUUGUUAUUAUUUAUUUUAUUUUAUUUUCAGUUGUUACAGACGGGACAGACAUGACUGAGGGAUAGGAAAGGGAGAAAGAAAGAUGAAGGAAAAGAAAAACAGAAGGGAAGAAGGGCAGUGAGAAAGGGCACUUAAAAAGAGAAAAAAAAAUCUGGAUCACCUGUUGAGAGAAAAAGAAGAGAAAACAAGCAAAAAAAACCAGUAACAUACUAAACACAACACCAUCACAUUAAUCUAGCUAAGUGUAAACAGCAGUAAAUACUAAAUAUUGAAUGUUGUUGUGUAGCAAGCAGGACCGACAGCGCACAUUGUGCUUGGGAAUAGCAGCCAAUAAGGGUGUAGUUUAUGUCUAUGGACAGUGAGCACCUGUGUGCACACCUGUGUGGAUCAGCGCGCUUGUAUUCAAAAGGUUUCCCCAUGUAACGGUCUGCUAGAGGGUGUAGGGAGCCAUAGCCCCGUCCCCCAGGGCAUGAAGCAGGCAUGGAGGAGAUCCAGGCUCCAGACAUCCAGAGGCCCCAGAGUGCGAGAGCCCAAGGAGUACCACCGGAGGGGCAUCCGUGAAUCUAAAUGUACCUUCACACGAACACCUGUGACUUCUCCUUCUCUUUUGGCUUGCACUGUAUAUCUCCGCUCUCUAGCAUCACAUAUGGAAAACACCAUUAGUUGCAAAGCAGAUGUUCGUCCCCUCCACUGUAUUCAGAUAUAGUGGGGGAACAUGGUGGCUUCCACAAACCACAAACCCACCGCUAUGUAUUCUUAAUAGAUUUAUUAUAAGUUUAUGAGAAUGCGUCAGUUUAUUGGAAGAAGUAAUUAGACACAAAUCUAUGUAUAUUUAUGAGUACAGUAUCCUUUUUUCUAUUAAAUUAUCUCAUAACAUUACUGACUGUACAUUUUAAUUAUUUUCUUUUGCAGCCAGAACUCAGCAUACUGUUGUAAUAUGAAGAAUGCAGAAGAAACAAAUCAAAUCUACUUGAUUCUUUUCUAAUUCAAAGCGCUCAGAUUUUGAACCCAUUUUGAAAUUGGAGUUUCUCUAUUGUUGAAUUUGUUUCUUCUCUUUAUGUUUUGCCUCCAUGUAAUUAUAUGUGUUGUUCAGUGCUAACACUUGAAUACCUCAGAGAGGAUGAACACUGUUAAUCUUCUCUGCCGAUCGGCCCGACUGUCAUUAAAACGCCAGCAUUCGCACCGAGUGACUUCAGAGAGCGAAUGAAAGGAGACGCCUGCACAAUCCUGGCCUUCUUCUCCUCGAGAUGAAAGAGAGUGUGUGUCAGAGAGAGCUCUUAAGUAUGGUUGUGUCUGUUGUCUGUUUCUCUGUGUGACCUUUCACCUCUGCUGCUGCUGCUGUGGUUGCAGCCACAUUUCUACAUGUGGAACAAAAGCUUCAAACAGGGGAAGCAAGUGCAAUACUGAGAGCUGUUCCUGUUCAUUAUUUAACAAAAUGUCAUCAAAGGAGGCACUAAGCUGACCAAUGAGGUGUGCAAGACCGACCGAGGUGUCGUAGCCACGUGUUCAUUAUGUUCAGACAAACAUGUUAAACAUAAG